CAUCAGUGAUACCUAGUAGUAUGUAGUAGUAAUCUAGUAGAAUAAAAGUAUGAACCCUUAGGUACAGUUAUCGUAUGAUUCAAUCCUUCUAUUAUGAGUCCUGACUUGAUAAAGGUCAUGGAGAACUCGUCAGAUCCUAUCAUCAGUCAUAUAUUAGAUUGACUAAACUCGAGUUCACUUAUGAAUCUCAUAGAAACUCUUUUUUAGUAUUCAUAUUUACUUCAGCCAAAGACUUUCUGAACUCAGUCUUGUAAAUUACAUAGAACUUCUCAUUUUCCAC
rnacentral:lncRNA from 1 species